rnacentral:lncRNA from 1 species
CGUGGCUGCAAACCAGGGCUGGCUGGUGACUGUCCUGAAUAUCACCAACCUGAUUCAGAUGGUGAUCCAGGGUCGGUGGUUAAAGGACUCUUCUCUUCUUACACUACCAAACAUAGAAAACCAUCAUCUUCACCUUUUCAAGAAAUGGAAGCCGAUUAUGAAGGGCCCACAUGCUAGGGGUCGGACCUCCAUCGAGUCCCUUCCUGAACUGAUCCAUGCCUGUGGAGGGAAAGACCAUGUAUUUAGCUCCAUGGUAGAAAGUGAGCUACAUGCUGCAAAAACGAAACAGACAAACGAGAUGACAACAAAUGGAUCAAAUUGCAUGCUGACCAAGAGUAUGUGCUUCAAGUGAGCUUGCAGAGAGUCCACUUUGGGUUCCACAAGGGAAAGCCAGAGAGCUGUGCAGUUACUCCUCGAUUUCCCAAAUCAAAAGACGAAGGAUGGUUUUUGAUAUUAGGAGAAGUGGAUAAGAGAGAACUUAUUGCUUUGAAAAGAGUAGGAUAUAUUCGAAAUCAUCAUGUUGCUUCCCUUUCUUUUUAUACCCCUGAAAUACCUGGAAGGUAUAUCUACACAUUAUAUUUCAUGAGUGACUGCUACCUUGGCCUGGACCAGCAGUAUGACAUCUAUCUCAACGUUACACAAGCGAGUCUUUCUGCACAGGUCAACACCAAGGUCUCUGAUUCCCUGACUGACCUGGCAUUAAAGUAACUUGACCUGAACAAUCCAUUUGAAAGGAGUGGCUAAGAAUUCUCUCUGUUCAGUCAUCUAGACAAAUCGAAUUACUUGAUGUUUGCCUUGAAAGAAUCAACUUCUAACCUCAACCAUCCAGGAAAUUGACAGUGGCUGCAGUAUUGACUCCAGUGACAUAAAGUUAACCACAGUGGCCUUUUAACAAAUGUUGCCUUUUAUAAUGUUAUCUUUAUGAGUUUCUUGAUAUGUAAGAUGAAAAAGCAUUUAGAAUAAUCUUUUAAUUUGUGUAUAUUUGGGAUGAUAUUUAGGAGCUAUCAAUCAAAUUUUACAUCUCACAAUGUACUGUUUACAUGGAUAUUGGCUGCUUUUUUUAAGGAAAACCACAUUGAGAUGUGACAAGUGUUAGGACUUGUCACAGAUUUCUAACUCUGCCGCAUAAACUAUAAAUCUGUAAGGUGGUACACAGCGUGUCUUGUUAGCAAAAUUUAUACUUUGAUAUGAUCACAUGUAGAAGUAGCUUCAAGAAUUUCUUGUAGUCAUAAAUGUUUAAUAAUAUAUGAUGUAAAAUUAUAUUAUGGAGCCUAAUGAUGAUAACAAAGAAAACAAUAUACUGAUCUUAGAAAAUGUAGACAUGGUUAACUGGGAAAUAAAAUAUAGAGUGGCACUUCAAGACAAGCUGACUCAAUGUUUUCUUCUGCUUCCUUUAAAUAAUAUCCCCUUACUCAUCUGUUCUUCUUUUCUUUCCCUUCUACUUCAAGGCUUUAUUUCUAUUAUCUUUCUGACAUAUUUAUUUACAGAAGUAGAGAAGUAUAAUCUAAUUCAUGUUGUAGCACUUACAGAUCAUAUAGUACAAUUAUUUGUCUUUAUGCUCUCCAGGAAAAAUCUGAGACAGAAAAUUUUUCACCCCUAUGGAUAGGUUUUCACCUGUAAUAAAGAAAAUUUCUCUAUGUCCAAACAAAUUCCUUCUUGAAAAAUACUUUUUCAAACUAAAAACUUGUUAAAAUUCAAUGUUCAUAUAAUAUGCAUUCUAGUGGAAUGAAAUUCUACCUUUGUGAAAUAAUUUCAGUUUUC